rnacentral:rRNA from 1 species
AUUGAACGCUGGCGGAAUGCUUUACACAUGAAAGUCGAACGGUAGAGGGGGCAACCCCUCGAGAGUGGCGAACGGGUGAGUAAUAUAUCGGAACGUGCCCAGUCGUGGGGGAUAACGUAGCGAAAGUUACGCUAAUACCGCAUACGAUCUAAGGAUGAAAGCGGGGAUCGCAAGACCUCGCGCGAUUGGAGCGGCCGAUAUCAGAUUAGGUAGUUGGUGGGGUAAAGGCUCACCAAGCCAACGAUCUGUAGCUGGUCUGAGAGGACGACCAGCCCCCCUGGAACUGAGACACGGUCCAGACUCCUACGGAAGGCAGCAGUGGGGACUCUUGAACAAUGGACGCAAGUCUGAUCCAGCCAUUCCGCGUGCAGGAGGAGGGCCCUCGGGUUGUAAACUGCUUUUGUACGGAACGAAAAGGUCUCUCUUAAUACGGGGGACUCAUGACGGUACCGUAAGAAUAAGCACCGGCUAACUACGUGCCAGCCGCUGCGGUAA